GAUAUGCAAACAUAACAAUGAAUUUCGGACAAUUCAAACUUUUGUGAAUAACCCUGUGUGUAAUCCUAUUCCAUAAUCUCAUUGUAUCUAACACAAUUAGCUUCACAUGUGUAUCGCAAUAACAGCGCACAGAGAGCAGGUAAGGCUAUCCUCUGUACGAGGCUGUGACAAUAGUCAUGUAUACAGAGACCAGCUAUCCAUAUCGGUUUCCCAGGGAACACAUUGAUUCUCUGUACGAGGCUGUGACAAUAGUCAUGUAUACAGAGACCAGCUAUCCAUAUCGGUUUCCCAGGGAACACAUUGAUUCUCUGUACGAGGCUGUGACAAUAGUCAUGUAUACAUGGCUAUCCAUAUCGGUUUCCCAGGGAACACAUUGAUCCUCCGUACAAGGCUGUGACAAUAAUCAUGUAUACAGAGACCGGGCUAUCGAUAUUGGUUUCCCAGGGAACACAUUGAUCCUCCGUAUGAGGCUGUGACAAUAGUCAUGUAUACAGAGACUGGGCUAUCCAUAUCUGUUUCCCAGGGAACAUACUGAUCCUCCGUACGAUGCUGUGACAAUAGUCAUGUAUACAGAGACCGGCUAUUGAUAUCGGUUUCCCAGGGAACACAUUCCAGCUGGGAAGAGCGGCCAAGAGCCAUCACAGCCAAAUUACACCAAGCCACUAGUUGUAAGGCAAUAGAAUCUGGCAAGAAAUAAUCCAGUAACCAUGGCUUCAUAGAUCCUGUUCUUAAUGAUCCCAGGCACAGUACUGCACAGUGUGAAU